AAAAAAACCCUGCACGGGGAGAAACCAUGAUUAUGAAGGUGGUUUUCCCAGGGCGAGGCUUAUCCAUUGCACUCCGGAUGUGCUGACCCCUGAAAUUUCCCCAAAUGUGGGAAACUCGACUACAUAAUUUGUGGUAGUAGGGGACUGCGUUCGCGCUCUCCCCUG